AGUCACUGACAUUAGAUACCCGCGUAGUCCAGGGUGUAAACGCUGCAGACUUGGUGUUGGGAAAGUCCUUUGGGGGCAUUCAGUGCCGGAGAGAAGUUGUUAAGUCUGCUACUUGGGAAGUACGGUCGCAAGGCUGAAACUUAAAGGAAUUGCGGGGGAGCACCACAACGGGUGGAGCCUGCGGUUUAAUUGGACUCAACGCCGGAAAUCUCACCGGAUAGGACAGACAUAUGAUAGUCGGGCUGAAGACUCUACUUGAUGAUCUG
rnacentral:rRNA from 1 species